rnacentral:rRNA from 1 species
GUGUCAGCAGCCGCGGUAAUACGUAGGGGGCAAACGUUGUCCGGAUUUACUGGGUGUAAAGGGUGCUCAGGCGGUCUUGUAAGUCAGAAGUGAAAUCCUAGAGCUUAACUCUGGAACUGCUUUUGAUACUGCAAGGCUUGAAUAUGGAAGAGGAGGGUGGAAUUUCUGGUGUAGCAGUGAAAUGCGUAGAUAUCAGAAAGAACACCAGUGGCGAAGGCGGCCCUCUGGUCCAUUAUUGACGCUAAAGCACGAAAGCGUGGGGAGCAAACAGGAUUAGAUACCCUGGUAGUCCACGCCUUAAACGAUGAAUACUAGACGUUGGGGUCAAACUCAGUGUCGCAGCUAACGCAUUAAGUAUUCCACCUGGGGAGUACGAUCGCAAGGUUGAA